UAAUCUGAUUUGUUGGCUGUGCUGUUUAAUCUGACUGUUGGCUGUGCUGUUUUAUCUGAUUGUUGGCUGUGCUGUUUAAUUUGAUUGUUGGCUGUGCUGUUUAAUCUGAUUGUUGGCUGUGAUGUUUUAUCUGAUUGUUGGCUGUGCUGUUAAAUAUGAUUGUUGGCUGUGCUGUUUAAUCUGAUUGUUGGCUGUGCUGUUUAAUCUGAUUGUUGGCUGUGCUGUUAAAUGUGAUUGUUGGCUACGUUGUUAAAUGGGUCUUAUACUCUCUGUCUUCCUCCAGGGAGCAGCCUGAGGAAGAGGAGCCAGUGCAGGAUGAGCAGGAGUACCAGGAGGAGCAGGAUUACCAGGAAGAACCGGUGCAUGAAGAUGGAGGUGA